GUCUGCGUUCACCCGGUCGACGGAACGCAGGCGUUAGGUUCACCCAAACGUCACGUCCGGGAUGUCGCAUUCAUUCUUUGUUUUUUCGCGUCCGUGAUGUCACAUCCGUCUUUGGUUUUGGCGGCAGAAUGGCAAGCUCAAAGGUGAGCUACGCUCAAACAACUGGACAAAGAUGUGGAUCGUUUAUUUUUCGGGGUUUGUGCUAGCGUAAGCUAUCGUGGCCAAAGAACGUAAUCGGAAGAGGUGACGAGACGAAUGCGUUCUUCGUGGUUAGGAAAAGAAUUGCCAGUGGCAUCCAGUUGUGUGAGGCGCUGACGACAAGAGAUAGAAGCAGACGCCAAAGAAGUCCCACCCCAAGAUGAGUUCAUGGGUCACUCACGAAAUACCGCAAAAACAAUGUGGUGAAGAAUUUAGUCUAUGGACACACGAACAGUACACGGUGCGAUUGGACGAAUAAUAACGUUGGCUGCUGCACAAAGAGAAAGGCGGGAGUAAGGCAAUUCUUGUGUUUUAUAGAGUCCCGAACAGUCACAUGGCAAUAAUCGCCAAGCGUCUUGUAACAUGGAGCCACCUCAGAAUUGCACCAAACAAAGAUGAUGGAUGCAGCCAGUCUUGCCAGAUAACUACAUUUUGACUAUUCUGUAUUGUUUGCAUUUAUUGUGCAAAAGGAAUUCUCGCAGAGAGUUUUAUCUUCAGUGGCCUUCAGUUGACGUCAUCUGCUACAACUAGCACAUAAGUUAACUCCAUAGCACCACUAGGAUGGAGACAUUGUGUCGUGGGAUGCUUCCUUAAAAGUGGACAAGAAGAUACUAAAGGAAAAGUGUGAGAUGGUCACAGUAAUAACCAAGGCAUUUGGCAUGGGAAUGACCCAGCUAUGAAGGUAUUAUCAGAUGUGGACAAGCAUAUAAUACAAAAUGGCGCCUUGCACGAGUCCCAAGUGUCAAAUGUAAUGAGUAUUGUGCAUUGAAAGGGCCAAAAAUGUUUUGUACAUGCAAGGGAACACUAUGGGCAUUUGAUAGCAGUUGCUUAGAUGUACUACAUUAAAAGGAACCAAACGAAUUCCCUUAGACAUAAGCAUGCAGCAAAUUCAAGGACUAGAUGAAGCUUCAAAGAAACUGCAUUUCAUGUAGGAUAGGUGUGAAUGACCUUUGUGCAUGAGAUCAGUGACAAAAACACUAAAUGAAUGCAGUACAGUGUCUGUAUCAUAUCUUGUGCAGACCAAACUAGCCUGGAGUUUAAGCAUUCCUUGUCAGUACAUUUAAAUAGGCACUACAUUGUUCAAAGUGCAAUAUUGUUCUACAAAACAUAAUAUGCAAGAUGUAGCAUGCUAACCCUUGUGGCUCAACAACUACUGAACCGAAACCUCAAUGAGCAGUGAAGCGUCCUUGUAAUUUUCAUCGUAACCAUACUUUUGCUCUUGAAAGUGAACCUCUUUAGUGAAUUUGCUUGUGUAUUAAUUUUUCUUUAGGCAAGUAUUUUUUAUACAUGUUAAUGUCUCAAUCCUGCUUUCUCUUUCCGGAGCUAAAACAAAAUGCCUCUUAUUUCAGUUUGAUCUUUUGACCUAGGAAGCCAUCAUCAGGUGCUGUGUACAGCAAGCACAUGCUUCGGGCAAGGAGGGAGCGAGCACCAUAUCUACAUCAGCAAGAACCUCGGUGCUCAAAAUAAAAAUUUUCUGUGCAAA